rnacentral:rRNA from 1 species
AUAUCGACGGCGGAGUUUGGCACCUCGAUGUCGGCUCAUCACAUCCUGGGGCUGCAGUAGGUCCCAAGGGUAUGGCUGUUCGCCAUUUAAAGUGGUACGUGAGCUGGGUUUAGAACGUCGUGAGACAGUUUGGUCCCUAUCUGCAGUGGGCGUAGGAAGUUUGACAGGGGCUGCUCCUAGUACGAGAGGACCGGAGUGGACAAACCUCUGGUGUACCGGUUGUCACGCCAGUGGCAUAGCCGGGUAGCUAAGUUUGGAUAAGAUAAGCGCUGAAAGCAUCUAAGCGUGAAGCUUGCCUGGAGAUAAGACUUCCCAAAGGACAUAAGUCCUUCUAAAGAGGCGUUAGAGACGAUGACGUUGAUAGGUCGGGUGUGAAAGUGCGGUAACGCAUGGAGCUAACCGAUACUAAUAUCUCGUGAGGCUUGACUCU